AACGUAGGAGACAAACGUUAUCCGGAGUUACUGGGCGUAAAGGGCGUGUAGGUGGUUUUGUAAGUCUGGCGUGAAAUUUUUCGGCUUAACCGGGAAAGGUCGUCGGAUACUGCAAGGCUAGAGGAUGGUAGAGGCGUGUGGAAUUCCGGGUGUAGUGGUGAAAUGCGUAGAGCCCCGGAGGAACACCAGUGGCGAAGGCGACACGCUGGGCCAUACCUGACCCUGAUGCGCGACAGCAUGGGGAGCAAACAGG
rnacentral:rRNA from 1 species